rnacentral:rRNA from 1 species
CAGAAUUUUGAAUCUGGCUCAGGACGAACGCUGGCGGCGUGCUUAACACAUGCAAGUCGAACGGAAAGGCCCGCUUGCGGGUACUCGAGUGGCGAACGGGUGAGUAACACGUGGGUGAUCUGCCCUGGACUCUGGGAUAAGCCUGGGAAACUGGGUCUAAUACCGGAUAUGACCUUACAUCGCAUGGUGUUUGGUGGAAAGCUUUUGCGGUUCAGGAUGGGCCCGCGGCCUAUCAGCUUGUUGGUGGGGUAAUGGCCUACCAAGGCGACGACGGGUAGCCGACCUGAGAGGGUGAUCGGCCACACUGGGACUGAGACACGGCCCAGACUCCUACGGGAGGCAGCAGUGGGGAAUAUUGCACAAUGGGCGCAAGCCUGAUGCAGCGACGCCGCGUGAGGGAUGACGGCCUUCGGGUUGUAAACCUCUUUCACCAGGGACGAAGCGCAAGUGACGGUACCUGGAGAAGAAGCACCGGCCAACUACGUGCCAGCAGCCGCGGUAAUACGUAGGGUGCGAGCGUUGUCCGGAAUUACUGGGCGUAAAGAGCUCGUAGGCGGUUUGUCGCGUCGUCUGUGAAAUUCUGCAACUCAAUUGUAGGCGUGCAGGCGAUACGGGCAGACUUGAGUACUACAGGGGAGACUGGAAUUCCUGGUGUAGCGGUGAAAUGCGCAGAUAUCAGGAGGAACACCGGUGGCGAAGGCGGGUCUCUGGGUAGUAACUGACGCUGAGGAGCGAAAGCGUGGGUAGCGAACAGGAUUAGAUACCCUGGUAGUCCACGCCGUAAACGGUGGGUACUAGGUGUGGGGCUCAUUUCACGAGUUCCGUGCCGUAGCUAACGCAUUAAAGGACCCCCCGG